rnacentral:rRNA from 1 species
AUUGAACGCUGGCGGCAGGCCUAACACAUGCAAGUCGAGCGAGUGGCGGACGGGUGAGUAAUGUCUGGGAAACUGCUUGAUGGAGGGGGAUAACUACUGGAAACGGUAGCUAAUACCGCAUACCAUCAGAUGUUCCCCGAUGGGAUUAGAUUGUUGGUGGGGUAACGGCUCACCAAGGCGACGAUCCCUCGCUGGUCUGAGAGGAUGACCAGCCACACUGGAACUGAGACACGGUCCAGACGCCGACGGGAGGCAGCAGUGGGGAAUAUUGCACAAUGGGCGAAAGCCUGAUGAAGCCAUGCCGCGUGUAUGAAGAAGGCCUUCGGGUUGUAAAGUACUUUCGGCGGGGAGGCGUUACCCGCAGAAGAAGCACCGGCUAACUCCGUGCCAGCAGCCGCGGUAAUUC